rnacentral:rRNA from 1 species
GAUGAACGCUGGCGGCGUGCCUAAUACAUGCAAGUCGAGCGAACAGAUAAGGAGCUUGCUCCUUUGACGUUAGCGGCGGACGGGUGAGUAACACGUGGGUAACCUACCUAUAAGACUGGAUAAAUUUGGGAAACCGGAGCUAAAACCGGAUAACAUUUUGAACCGCCUGGUUUCAAAGUUAAAUAUGGGUUUGUCUUCACUUUUAGAUGGACCCGCGCCGUAUUAGCCAGUUGGUAAGGUAACGGCUUACCAAGGCGACCAUACGUAGCCGACCUGAGAGGGUGAUCGGCCACACUGGAACUGAGACACGGUCCAGACUCCUACGGGAGGCAGCAGUAGGGAAUCUUCCGCAAUGGGCGAAAGCCUGACGGAGCAACGCCGCGUGAGUGAUGAAGGGUUUCGGCUCGUAAAACCCUGUUAUUAGGGAAGAACAAACGUGUAAGUAACUGUGCACGUCUUGACGGUACCUAAUCAGAAAGCCACGGCUAACUACGUG